rnacentral:rRNA from 1 species
GACGAACGCUGGCGGCGUGCUUAACACAUGCAAGUCGAACGGAAAGGCCCUGCUUUUGUUGGGUGCUCGAGUGGCGAACGGGUGAGUAACACGUGAGUAACCUGCCCUUGACUUUGGGAUAACUUCAGGAAACUGGGGCUAAUACCGGUUAGGAGCUCCUGCUGCAUGGUGGGGGUUGGAAAGUUUCGGCGGUUGGGGAUGGACUCGCGGCUUAUCAGCUUGGUGGUGGGGUAGUGGCUUACCAAGGCUUUGACGGGUAGCCGGCCUGAGAGGGUGACCGGCCACAUUGGGACUGAGAUACGGACCAGACUCCUACGGGAGGCAACAGUGGGGAAUAUUGCACAAUGGGCGGAAGCCUGAUGCAGCAACGCCGCGUGCGGGAUAACGGCCUUCGGGUUGUAAACCGCUUUCGCCUGUGACGAAGCGUGAGUGACGGUAAUGGGUAAAGAAGCACCGGCUAACUACGUG